rnacentral:rRNA from 1 species
UAAUACCUGAGGCUCAAGUGAUGGCCACUAUUAUUGGGUCUAAAGCGCCCGUAGCCGGUUCGGUAAGUUCCUGGUGAAAUCCUCCAGCAAACUGGAGGGCGUGCUGGGAAUACUACUGGACUUGAGACCGGGAGAGGAUGGGGGUACUUUUGGGGUAGGGGUUAAAUCCUGUAAUCCCAAAGGGACCACCUGUGGCGAAGGCGCCCAUCUGGAACGGGUCUGACGGUGAGGGACGAAAGCGUGGGUAGCGACCGGGAUUAGAUACCCCGUUAGUCCACGCCGUAAACGAUGCCCGCUCGGUGCCGCAAGCUUCUUGGGAGCUUGCGGUGCCGUAGUGUAGAUGUUAAGCGGGCCACCUGGGGAGUACGUCCGCAAGGAUG